UUAGUUGCUAUAGAAAGGAAAUGAAAGAGAUGGUUAUACAACUCACUGAUUGCUUUUUUUAAUGGAGUAGGAUGAUUUUCUCCCAUUGAUUGAUUGAUUGACAGAAGCUUCCAAAUAAUAUUCUUGUCUUUUUAGUAUCUACUGUUCGUUUAAGUAAGCACUCUUAUGGCUGGUUUGCAGUGGUGGAAAUUGCCAGAAAGCCAUAAAAUGUUCAAGCUGGAAGUUACUUUAAGGAUGAUAUAGUAACAGCAGAUGAAAAACCAACAUUGAUAGAAUUAUGUUCCUGAAGGUCACACAUCUGUAUGGUGGUCUAGAUUCUUAAGAUCAGUCCUCCUUUCCUACUUGUAGCAGUGCUCCUAAACCAUUAUGUAUUAUCAGAGUUGUGGAUGUAUUUUAAAGCAAUAACAUGUCAUUCUCUUUUUAGGUAGUUAUUACUAGUAAAAGCGGAGAGAUCUUGUAUCGUAUUUCACCGUGGGCAAAGUAUGUGGUUCGUGAAGGUGAUAAUGUGAAUUAUGAUUGGAUACACUGGGAUCCAGAACACUCAUAUGAAUUUAAGCAUUCCAGACCAAAGAAGC
rnacentral:sRNA from 1 species